UACGUAGGGGGCAAGCGUUGUCCGGAUUUAUUGGGCGUAAAGAGCGUGUAGGCGGCCAUGUAGGUCCGUUGUGAAAACUCGAGGCUCAACCCCGAGACGCCGAUGGAAACCAUGUGGCUAGAGUCCGGAAGAGGAGAGUGGAAUUCCUGGUGUAGCGGUGAAAUGCGCAGAUAUCAGGAAGAACACCCGUGGCUAAGGCGGCUCUCUAGUACGGUACUGACGCUGAGACGCGAAGGCGUGGGGAGCAAACAGG
rnacentral:rRNA from 1 species